CCGGUUGAUGCAUUCUGACCUCUAGGCCAGAGCGUGGUUAACAGCCAAGAUUCACGUGAUGGGUGUCAUCAAAUGGUUGUAGAGGAUCAUUCCUGUCCAGCUCACACUGGUGCAGGGUGGCUCAGAGGUUGUCUGACAG
rnacentral:snoRNA from 16 species